rnacentral:lncRNA from 1 species
GCUAGGAGUGUAUUGCUAUGCUCACUUCUGCCAGGGAUGAAAAACCUAGAGCCCUAGGGUCCUUUAAAUAGUGCCAGACGCUUCCCAAAGUGCGGCCCAGUCCAAAAGAAUCAAAUCAGAGAAGAAUCAGGGCUUGAUCCACGUGAAAUCACGCUCAAGCAUCGCAGGGAGCUAGCCCAAGCGUGAAUUGAGGGUUCUAUAAGGCUUGGGCGUCAGUUUUGGAUGCCUGAGCUACUGGCGUCCGUCGCCCGGUCGUCGGGUCCGUUGCUCGGGCGACCAGAGGUGAAUUCAGCUUCGCUGUUUUUCAUUCCUGUCGCCUGGGCUUCGGGUUUCCUCCCUUCUUGGUACCUUUUUUCCCCUUUUGAGCUCCUCUUUCAUGGUUUUUCACUUCUUCUUCCAAUAUUACUUCAAUCUCUG